AUUGAACGCUGGCGGCAGGCCUAACACAUGCAAGUCGAGCGGAUGAAGGGAGCUUGCUCCGGGUUCUAGCGGGGGACGGGGGAGAAUUGCCCGGGAGUAUCCUGGGCAGGGGGGGAUAAUGUCUGGAAACGGCUGCUACUACUGCCUGCUACGGGAGGGAGAAGGAGGGGGUUGUUUGGACCGAUUCCGAUCAUGUGGGCCUAGGCCGGAUUAGCUAGUUGGUGGGGUAAAGGCCUACCAAGGCGACGAUCGGUAACCGGCCUGAGUGGAUGAUCAGUCACACUGGAACUGGGACACGGUCCAGACUCCUACGGGACGCAGCAGUGGGGAAUAUUGGACAAUGGGCGAAAGCCUGAUCCAGCCAUGCCGCGUGUGUGAAGAAGGUCUUCCGAUUGUAAAGCACUUUAAGUUGGGAGGAAGGGCAGUAAGUUAAUACCUUGCUGUUUUGACGUUACCAACAGAAUAAGCACCGGCUAACUUCGUG
rnacentral:rRNA from 1 species